GGGCCCAUGGCUUAGCCUGGUUAAAGCGCUCGGCGUUCAACCGAGAGAUCCCCGGUUCAAAUCCGGGUGGGCCCA
rnacentral:tRNA from 1 species